CCUACGGGAGGCAGCAGUAGGGAAUCUUCCACAAUGGACGAAAGUCUGAUGGAGCAACGCCGCGUGAGUGAAGAAGGUUUUCGGAUCGUAAAACUCUGUUGUUGGAGAAGAAUGUAUCUGAUAGUAACUGAUCAGGUAGGACGGU
rnacentral:rRNA from 1 species